rnacentral:rRNA from 1 species
CAUGCAAGUCGAGCGAGAAAGUGACUUCGGUUGCGAGUAAAGCGGCGAACGGGUGAGUACAACGUGGAUAAUCUACCCUAGGGUCUGGGACAACCCCGAGAAAUCGGAGCUAAUACCGGAUAAGACCACAGUAUCCAAGGAUACAGUGGUAAAAGAUUUAUCGCCUUUGGAUGAGUCCACGUCCCAUCAGGUAGUUGGUAAGGUAAAAGCUUACCAAGCCUAAGACGGGUAGCCGGCCUUAGCGGGUGAACGGCCACAUGGGGACUGAGACACGGCCCUGACUCCUACGGGAGGCAGCAGUGGGGAAUAUUGGGCAAUGGGCGAAAGCCUGACCCAGCGAUGCCGCGUGAGGGAUGAAGGCCUUCGGGUUGUAAACCUCUGUCAGGAGGGACGAUGGGACACUUGUGUCUUGACGGUACCUCCAGAGGAAGCCCCGGCUAACUCCGUGCCAGCAGCCGCGGUAAUACGGAGGGGGCAAGCGUUGCUCGGAAUUACUGGGCGUAAAGGGUCCGCAGGCUGUCAGGCAAGUUGGUUGUGAAAGCUCAAGGCUUAACCUUGGAAUUGCAUCCAAAACUGCCUGACUAGAGUCCAAGAGAGGUUGGCGGAAUUCCCGGUGUAGCGGUGAAAUGCAUAGAUAUCGGGAGGAACACCAGAGGCGAAGGCGGCCAACUGGCUUGGAACUGACG